GAUGAACGCUGGCGGCGUGCUUAACACAUGCAAGUCGAACGAUGAAGCCCAGCUUGCUGGGUGGAUUAGUGGCGAACGGGUGAGUAACACGUGAGUAACCUGCCCUUUACUCUGGGAUAAGCGCUGGAAACGGCGUCUAAUACCGGAUACGAGCUUCCACCGCAUGGUGAGUUGCUGGAAAGAAUUUCGGUCAGGGAUGGACUCGCGGCCUAUCAGGUCGUUGGUGAGGUAACGGCUCACCAAGCCGACGACGGGUAGCCGGCCUGAGAGGGUGACCGGCCACACUGGGACUGAGAUACGGCCCAGACUCCUACGGGAGGCAGCAGUGGGGAAUAUUGCACAAUGGGCGGAAGCCUGAUGCAGCAACGCCGCGUGAGGGACGAAGGCCUUCGGGUCGUAAACCGCUUUUAGCAGGGAAGAAGCGAAAGUGACGGUACCUGCAGAAAAAGCACCGGCUAACUACGUG
rnacentral:rRNA from 1 species